UACGGGGGGGGGCAAGCGUUGUUCGGAAUUACUGGGCGUAAAGGGCGCGUAGGCGGCUUAACAAGUCACUUGUGAAAUCUCCGGGCUUAACUCGGAACGGCCAAGUGAAACUGUUAUGCUAGAGUGCAGAAGGGGCAAUCGGAAUUCUUGGUGUAGCGGUGAAAUGCGUAGAUAUCAAGAGGAACACCUGAGGUGAAGACGGGUUGCUGGGCUGACACUGACGCUGAUGCGCGAAAGCCAGGGGAGCAAACGGG
rnacentral:rRNA from 1 species